UUUUUUUUUUUUUUUUUUUUUUUUUAACCAGAACUGUUUCUGCUAGAGAAUUCACAUGCAAAUGGAGAUGUUGACUGGCACUUUUUCACAAGAAAGCUUGUUUUGUUGGUUUUCAGAACUGAUAAACUGAGUAGUAUAUCAAAGAGUAUUUUGAAAAGGAGAAUCUUAAUAUAUAAUAGUUCUUGAGGAGGAUGGUUACAGUAGUAAAACACAGAAAAAUGUAUUCUGUAUUUUGGACAAAUACAGAAUUCUCUAGGCAUCAAUAUUCCAUUCUUCUAAGCAAGAAUGAUACUAUUUAUUUAUAAUAAUAAUUAUCAUUAUUAUCUCCCUGAAAGCUAGCUGUGAGGCUAAAUCAUUACUAUUUUCAAAUUAUUUCAUAGUCCUUAACUAGAAUUUGCCCUGAGAGUACUAAAUAUAAUAAUUUUCUCUGUAUGCCCUAUUUAAUUUUCCUUUGGAAAAAAACCACAUUUAACGUGUUGUUCUCUUUACAUUUGUCUACGUAAAACAUUUUAAAAUUCCAGCUGUUGAGCUUUUCUGGAAGUUAAUAACAGGAAAGUCUGACAUUAUUGUAUUUAUUGCUUAUUUCUUGCUUUUUUGUCAUAGUCUUUUACCCCCACAUAGAUAUCUCAAUAUCAUUAUCAUCUGGGAGCUUGUUACUGCAUGCACAAAUAGAGAAAUUGAGACCUGCACUUGCUGUUUAUUUCCUUGCUUGAAUUUGGAAUUGACAAGUAACCACACCUUGUUUCUCUAAAGUCAGAGCUCUCUAUAUAUCCAUAUAUAUUUGUAGGUAUCUCAAAUAUAAAUCUUUUCUUUCUUUCUUCUGCAGUUUACCAGGUUCUGCAUUUAUUGGCAAGUGUGUAUCAGUUACUCACAACUGAAGAUACCCAGAUCCAUUUCCUCUAGUUGUUAUCUGUUGGAUAGCUAGAUUCUAAUGUCUGAAAUCUACAUCAACCAACAUAAAAGCCACAGGAUAUGACACUGGUAUCUUGUGGUUCCAAUCAGCCUCCUGGUAUUAUAGUAGUACUUUUAUUUAACUGUGUUUCUCCUGAGUUCAGCAUGCUCAGCCACACUGGCUGUUUUGCAUAGCAUCUGCACUGUACAUUGUGAUAAUUGAAAACUCAAUACAGCCCGGAGGCACACCAACAGGACAGCACAACAGCACAGGAGCAGGCUGGGGCAUAACUCAGAAGAAUAAGGCAGACAGGCAGCAGCAAGCAGGGCUGAGCCAGCCCCAACACAUCUCCAGCAGCAGCGGAGCUGGGUCAGGCAUCCAGCAGCUGGGGGUCCCAUGGCAUGUGGCAGCUCUGGGAGCAGCCAAUGCCCAGUGCAGUGCGUGGAUGUCCCUCCAUCUGCCAUCGUGGGGCUGUCAUCUGGGAGCACAGACCGCAGGCAGAGUCCGAGGCUCACCUGGAAAAUUACAGGGACAGAUCAAAUCCACAUUCAUGGCCAUGCACUCCACUGACAGCUCCCAUACUGCACAUGCCUUUCCCAGGGUGGUUCCUAUUCCAAAAAUGUCAUCUAGGCAUUAGCAGAGAAUAGGUGAGAUAUUUUUUCUAGUGUUUCAGAAGUGUAACAUAGAUCAAAAAAUGUCACUUUCUAUUUGAAUGCUCAUAAUUAGAAUUAAAGCAAAUGACUUAAAAUAAAUGACUGGAGUAAGCCACAGCAUUUCUUCCUAUUAGCCUAUGUAGAAAGAAAAAAAUAUGCCUGGAGUGUAAAAAGAAGAAAAGAAGAAAUAAUGAAAAAACAACAUGUGGCAUGAAGAAGAUAAAUAUUUCUUGCCUGUUGUCUUGGCUCUGUCUAUGAAGAUUUUGUCCAACAACCUCAGCCAAAACUAUUUAGUGAGUGAUUUUGUGUCUGGCUGAUGGAAGGCCCAGUUGUCUCAGGGCAGCUUUGCAGGGUUUCCAGGAAGCAGACAAGUAGGUCUCUGCAGUGGGAGUCACGAGCUUUUCGUGUCAGUAGCACAGCUGAGCGGAUGGGAGGGUUUGAAGGAGUGGCCCUACCUUGUAGCAGCACCCCCAGAAAGUUGCUGAUGUUUGAAUCUCUCCAUAGACUGAAGAUCAACAGCUUUCCAUGAGUCAUUUGGCGAGGAAGGAAGGAAGGUGGACUAGUCCAGGAAACUUAGGCUGUAGGACUGGGAAGAAGGGAAGGAAAAUGAAUCAGUGCUCCCAGAGGAGGCAGUCUGAAUCUACUCUGAUCCUAAAGCAAGAGAGUGGAAACAGGCGUUUAAGAGCAGUUCAUUUAUACAAGGCAUACUGAAUAUACCGAGCAAACUACUGAAGGAGGCAAUAAACCUGCAUCUUGGAGAAUGGUCUAAAAGGAGUUAGAUUGGCACUUCAGAGCAAAGAGAUAUUUGAGGCUGCAAAGGCAAGCAGCAGCACACGGAGACACAUGGACACAGCUCACGUGGCCCACGCUAUUGACGUGUUUUCCCUCCCCAGCCCAGCCUGCUGAGCUUGAUUACUUACAUCUUGUAUAACUUACAUAGUCUAAAGAGAGUCGGCCAAUUUCCACUCAAUUUAUAAUUUAGCAAGCAGAGGAGCUUGAUUCUUCUAAUUUACAUAAAACAUACAUAAAACUGAAAACAAAAUAGCUUUAGAGCAUAUGGGCAAAGUACACAAGAGCCACAGAGGAAAAGCAGGAGUGAAGAAGGAUACAGAGCAAAAGCACUGUCUGGAUUGUGCUCUGCUAAGGGGUUCUGAGUACCUUAUUUAUGCUAAAUAUUUCACAGACAUGCCAGUCUUCAUCAUCACAGACACGUGUUGGUGGACAAUCAGCACACAGAUGUACCUAACCUACGCCAUAACGCUGAAUAGGGCUUUUUUAUUGCAUCUUCUCUUUCUAGGUAAAGAAAUAUUGUUGAAAACCUUCUGCAACAAUAUGGCAAGACAGCAUCAGUGUAUAUGGAGGUAGAAUUGCCUUCCUCCCAUUCCCUCUUGGGCAUGUCCCUGUCUCACAAAGAAAGGAAGCUCUCGCCCUGUGGGUAAACCCAAGUCAGCAUUCCACUUCCUGGGGAGCAGCAGCGGGGCUGCGCUCUUGUGACCAUUUCUCCUGCAUUCCUCCUCCAGGACUGCCGAGUUCUGGCAGAGCCAGAGAAGGCAUUCUCUGAGAGGAGACACCACCUGCCAAGCGUGGAAGCUGGUAUUCCUCCCUUGGCAUGGUAGGCUCCAAAUCGUGCCUCUCUUCUCCAUUUGCCUGAGGAGUCAUCCUGGGUACUAACAAUAGACUCCAUGGAGGCUGGUGGAGCUCAGGCUGCCUCACCAACUUCUGUCUGAAUUCAGUCAUUUCCAGUGAGCAAUGUAUAAAUAGAUGCUGCCUCAUUAUUGAUGUAUAUUGUGCAAAGGGUUUAGCCAGGGAUGAAGCUUGCCUGCUUUCCUUUUAUGGAUGAAAAACGGGAUCCCAGAGCCUUUAUGUGAGAUCUCUGUGCAUGUCAAUCAAACCACACCAGGAGGAAGAUUCUGUGCUCUUAGGUCCAUGUUAAAUGGCAGCCGCAUGGCCACAAGUCCAUGGGAAAAAAAUGCGUAUGUGUUUAAGCACAUUUACAAAUAUGCACAACAAAACCAAAUGAAAAAAGAAUUCUGAUAGUUGCAGCCUAAUUUUUCUAUUCCUUUUCAAAUCCCAAGACUGGGCUGUAGUCUGGGCCACUCUGACACAAAUCUCAUUUGACAUCGUUAUAAACCACUGAUUUACACUAAUGGAAGAGUUAGCCUCUGAUUUAGGAAGCAGACCUUAGCAGCUGGCCCAAGCCUGAGCAUCUCAGCCCUGCAGUCUGGCUGUAGCACAUUGAUACUUGCCAGCUAAAUUUGAUCAUGAACUCUAGUGAAGGCGAGCUAUCGAUAUUUCAGAAAGCCAUUCCUCACACUUCUGAGCAGCAAACGGCCCAUCACUAAGAAGGCCAGACCCUUGUCAGCAUGAGCUGACUUAUAUGAAAUGAAACACUGACCUCACUGCUAGCUCCAGAGUUAAUCUCAGAAGAGAGAUUUUAUUGGAGAAAGCAGAGCUAUUGUUCCGAGUCUCUCUACAGGGCACAUGUUUAAGUUUUGCAUCCAAGAAAUGUGGAAUACUUAAAAUAGAGUUGCAUUUGAUAAAAACUAAAACCUGAAAAGCCUAACUAGGUAUUGUGAGUGUGGAUUUAUUAAUUUGAUUUGUUUUUCUUGGAUUUCUCAUCACACCCAUUCAGCAUCCUUUGCCUCGCUGGAGUUUUUCCUCCCUCUCUACCAGACAGGCUGGAGCAGAGUGAGCAGCACUGCCUCACUGCAGCUCCAGAAAAAGAAAACUAAACAUGUCUAUAUUCAUCUCUAACCAAAGGUCUGGACUGGUCCUGCCUUCUUUGCUGGUAAGAAUUUAAAUAGAAAUACAAGCACCUAAACAAGAAGAGUAAAAGGGAGUGGGUUUGGCUCUUGCUUCCUAGAGCAAGACUCGCAGAUGCCAUUUUCAUCAAGGGGUUCUUUGAACAACAGAAGGCAAAUGGAUUUAUCACAUGUGUGACACAUGAUGGGACAGCCACAUGAUGUCAUAACACAACAAAGGACACUGAGCAGUAAAGCCAGAAAGGAUUGUACUGAAACCUUGAAAGUAAUUAUGUUAUUAUGUUCUGUAUAACUCAGACCCGGGCAAAAGGUGUCUUUCUUAAAAAAUGGAAAAAUCAUCACAUCUUAACCUGAGGUCUGAGAAAGUUUCCACUACUCUCCUCCAUAGUUCAAGACCUUAAAAAAUAAAAAAUUACGAAAUUAAAUGAUCCUGACAUUUCUAAAAUAAAACAUGUUGAGACAAAAUCCCUUUCAUCCCCUCAAAUCUUUUGCAUGUAUUGUAAACAGGGAGGGGGACAGCAAGGCAGAGGAGGAAGGUAGGGGAACAAGAAACAGUUUUUACCAUAGUGGUCAUUUUUAACAACUAGAGCAUCAAGACUGUAAUAAGUGUUGCUCCAGUAAAACAGCAAGCAAUAAACUGUAAAACAGCAGAAUGUAUCAUGGCAAAUUGACGAAGGGGUAAUACAAAAUGCAUUUUCUUGGAGUAACCAGGUAAGUUAUCUCCUGAAGAAUGAUUGUUAAAGGAAGAGUUUCCAGAUGGUGGGAAGCAUUAGUGCAUGAAGCCUCCCUGCUCUAUUUUCCACCUAAAUUGAAGAAAUAAAAUAAAUCCUUAAUAAUGUAGUAAUUAAUUAUGCCUUUUUAUUUGAUUUUGUAUCAGCAUCUUUUAGGAGAAUGUGAAUAUUUGCACGGCUAUUACUAUCAGAUAAUCUAAAAGUAGUCAUACAAAAUCUACGUUAUCUAUGUAAAUGCCUCUGUAAGAUGGUUCUUUUUUUGGUAACAGGCUGCACAAUUGCAUGCUGUACUGUUCUGGUUCAGAAUGUUCCUCUUUCUCCAAUUAGAGAAGACCAGCCCCAUGUUGAUCACUUUAUCUUUGAUUUCCAAUGAUUUAAAAGAUUGGUUUGACCUGUCAUCAUUAAUAAACUUUGUGGUAUUGUCCUGAUUGUUUCUGAGUGAAGGAAGCCCUGAUAUUACAAACAAGGUUAUGAAUCAGCAAUUAUUAUUAAAGUCAGCUAUAUUUUUCCACAUUUUAUGCCUCAUGCAAUAAUGGGAAACGGGUGUACAUUGUGUGCAACUCAGAUGAGCUGAUACAGAACAACACGGUGGUGACAACUGACCCCAAAAUGGAUAAAAUAUCUACAUAAUCUGAAAUACUCUUGAAAAGUUUGGAAAGUGUAAGUUACCUCUUGUGGGCCUAGCCCUUUCUUUCUAGUGGUAUAAAGUGCUGAGAAAUUAUCGGAGCCAUUUCAGCUCCACGGAGCUGUGCUGCAGCAGUCGGAGGCAAGAGGCCUCCCCAGACGGCUCUCCAGCCCUCCGAGGGUGACUACUGCUUGCUGUCUCUUGGCCAAGUUAAUUUUACUUCUCCCAGGCAAGGGCUUUCCUGCCUGGAGAUUGCUUUGCCGCUUUAUAUCAUCCCCACUGGCUAGAGGGGUAUAGGGUUCACUGAAAGGAAAUGUUUCUUGAUAGCCAUGCUGCAUUUUCUCUGUACAUGGCUUCUAGGUCUAUUUGCACACACCAGGCUACAUCGCUUUCCUGCUGGUUUCUGCAGGAGAAUGAUUUCAAAAGCAGGACACUAAUUUCAUUUAUCUAUAUGGGCAUUAUUACUGUGUAAUUUUGGCUAGAUAUGUGUAAUCAUAUAUAUUUAUAUGUGCAUGUGUAUAUAUAAAAAUAUAUAUAAACCACCUUUCAGGUAUAUAUAUUCAAGGCUCUUAUUUUUUCCAUCAAUCAACCCACUCUACUUUCUGGAACACUUCACCUAAUUUUUGUUUGGCUGCUCAUAACUAGAUACUGUUGUUCCAGGAAGCAAACUACCAAACCUGUGUGAUGUUCUAGGCCUGGUUUCUACCCUUCUGGUACAUACUUCCAGCUCCACACUGCAAUGCCUCCUCACCUACAGUCCCUGGUGCCUCACCCCUCCUCUGCCCUCUGAAAAGCUGGGUCACAUCUACCUUCUACCAUCACCUCCUCGACUCUUCUCUUUACCUUCCUCAGGAUCCUCUCUGUCCUUUGCAGUCAGACUCUUUCCAUCACCUCUAUGAAUUCUGGCUUGUUUUUUCACUUUUAGACUACUUAUUUUUGGCAUGUCAUUUAAAUUUCUUUUGAGUCAUUGUUAUUAUCGAGCCAACAUUUAUAAAUAGCUCUAUGCAUUGCAGGUAUGGGAUAAUCAGGUCCUUUGAUUUUUGAGCAAUUUGGUUACUAAAUGAUAGCAAUAAAAAGCAUGUAAUCAUCAUGGGCGUUAGCCCAGGAAAUGUUUCUACCAUUAAAGCUUUCAGGAGGUAGAUGAUGAUUCUGGUAAAAAUUUAUGGCUCUUAAUAAUGAGUGUUAUGAUUUACCAUUACAACACUAAAUGGUGAGGUGUCAUAACAGCUAUGGGUAAUACCUGGGGGCGAUGCUUUUCAGAAAAAUAGUGAUCUAUUAAAAGGAAGAGAAAAAAAACCCUUUUGUGUACGUAAAGUGCACAAAAAAGUAAAAAGUGUAAAAAGUGCAUAAAAAUCCAUUGUGUACGUUACGGCUAGUGUGAUGUAAAAAGGCAUAGAAAGAGGCUAGUUAGCUUAUUCUUCCAGCUGCAAAGUAUGUGUGGAACUGUGUGGAUGCAUAGAUAUUAAUGUUUUCAGUUUCCUCAAGGAAACCCCAUGAACACUAGAAGCUGCCUGAACUGACACAGAAGAAAACAGCUUGUUAUACAAUCCCCUCAAAAUCAUAUGUAGUCUUAAAAGCAGAAAGUAAAAACAUCUGCAUAACUGUACACAUCUACAUGCACCACUGUGGGCAUUUAUUUUAGGCAGAUUUGCAGCAGCAAGAGGAAUCAUAACACAGGUCAUAAAUACCCACUGCAACAGCACGGCCCCCGCUGAGGUGAGUGGGUGUUGUGCCUCUGUCAGGUCUGGGAAAAUGGGGCUUUUCUGCUAUGCUCUAGCCUCUCUGAAUUCAGAGAGGGGUGCCUGUGUGUAAAUAAGUAUAUUUAUACCAUUCAGGGAUAUAUACAUAUGUAACAGCUGUAGUUUUAAAUAUUUCUGGAAAGAGCACCUGAAGUCCAGUGGCAGUCCCUACACUUAAUUUAGGGUACUGCUAAGCAGAGAAAUGCUUCACACUGUGGGUAGACCCAGGCAGGGCUGUGACCCUGCCUGCACAGGACUGCAGGGACCAAAACUACUCCUUGUACUCGCAGUCCCGCCAUGGGGCACGAUGUGAUGUGCCCAUUGUGCCCAGAGAUACACACAGUCCUUUGGGCAGCUCCCCGCUCUGGGAAGACCCGGGCAGGGUGGGGGACAGCCAGUGUCACAGUGUCACCUGUGCUGCACCAGGGCCGCUGCCACACCAGCACCUGCUCUGCCACCAACCAACCGCCUGUGCCGCUCUGGGGGCCCUGGCGUGACAAACACUUACCUAUGGCAGCAGCCUUCAAGGCUACUCCAGCAGAGAAAAUUACCAGAGAUAUAAAUCUUCAUAGGAUUAUGGCCUUUAAAGACAAGGCUAAGUUCAAGUAAUUAUUGUUGGGGUAAAUUUUUAAUUUGAUUUUCUACCAGGAUGCAGAUUACAAAACCCAUUUUAAAACAGAAAUCUAGCAUUCUGAAUUAAUUAAAUAUGCCCUCACCAAAAUAGCUGUUAAUGCACAGUUGGUGCUGCCACAAACCUCAUUCUAAAAUGUCUUAGGAAGUGCUCAUACUGAAACAAUUAAACUCCCUUAUUUAAGUAAUUUUUUACUAUGUUCCACUAUAAACUUUUAGUGUAAUUUUUGCCAUUAAUGAACUAUCAUUUGACUACUAGAGGCAGAGAGGUUUUAGAGUUAUUUUUUUGGUUAGAUUUUUUAGCACACACGAUUCGCAAUUUCUGAAGCAAAGUAGGAAGCCUAGCAUUGCAAAAAAAUCCCUUUCACUAGGGGUCUAAUCUUUCCCACAGUGCAAUCAAUUGGGACUUUGCUGUUGCACUGGAUAGUAGGAUUUGGCCCUAAAUAUUUUGGAUUUAACACGAGCAAGCUUGCUUUCUUGAGCAGUCCCAUGGAAGCUAAGUGCAUUGCCAGGAUCAGACCCACAGCAUGAAUAGUCACUACUUAGACGUCUGCUGUUCAGAAAUGACCCCUUCUGUCCUUCAAUAUGUAUAUGUGACAGACCCCUGGAACUACUAAUAAAUGGGGGGAGUCCCUCUGAGAUCAUGCUAUUGGAAACAUCAUCCAAGAGUCCACAUUGAGCAUUUAUACAAUAUUCUAGAAUCAUUUUGGCAAGCAUAUCCAGUAUUUCUCCAAUUGGAUCCUACACUUUAACUCUUUUAACCCACAUAGCAAAGCAAUUCCCAAAAGAUUUUAGAGAUUUUAGAGAAGAGAAAUCUACAAUCAUCAAAAUGUUAAUUUUGACAAUGACAAAGAGUACAUGCAUUAAAAAUGCAUCAGCCCUGUCAUUAAGGCAUUAUUCAGCAAAACCAUCUCAUCAUGCUUUACAGAAAGCAACUAGGAGAAACCAAGUAUAAAGAGCCAUUUGCUAAGUCCAAUACAUACUACACAAGGCACUCAACCAAGCAAAGAGCAAACAAAUCCAUGCUCUUCAUGUAAUGAAAUGGGAACUCUUAAUAAUAUUCUAAGUCAUGACUCAAUGGAAAAUGUAAACUAAAAGCUCUGACCGGAGGAAGGUUUGUAAUACAAACCUGGAUUUUAAAACAGUGUUUCCAUGGCUUUUCCUGCAGCACUUGUGAAUGUGGCUGUGUUACGGUGCUGAACUGACUAUGGCUUAGCAGCCGAUCAUGUCUUUUUAAAGCAUAAUUUAACAUUUUUUCUGAGGCUGUUGAACAUACUAAACUACAAGGAAAAAAAUCUGCUUUCAAGUGAUAUUAGAGAAACACAAGGAUCAGAGUGCUAGCAUCAAAGAUGUGUCUAAAGAAUAACAGAUCCACAUGUCUGUGUUACAACCAGCACUCCACUCACUACUAAAGGCAACAGACUAAGAUUGCUUUGGCAGUUGUUGGAAAUUAUUAAGUAGAACAUUGACAGCAUUUAAAUCUCUAAGCAAGAGUCAGAGAGAAAGACAUUCUCCAUCAGCCCACCUCGUGCUGUCAACAAUCACCCCACGCCUGGCUUGUCCACAUUAAAAAUCAUUCCUAGCCCC
ensembl:lncRNA